rnacentral:rRNA from 1 species
GGGUGCAGCAGGCGCGAAAACUUUGCAAUAAGCGAAAGCUUGACAGGGCUAUCCCGAGUGCCAUCCGCUGAGGAAGGCUUUUACCCAGUCUAGAACGCUGGGGGAAUAAGGAGAGGGCAAGUCUGGUGUCAGCCGCCGCGAUAAUACCAGCUCUCCGAGUGGUGUGGAUGUUUAUUGGGCCUAAAGCAUCCGUAGCUGGCUAGGUCAGCCCCUUGUUAAAUCCACCGAAUUAAUCGUUGGAUUGCGGGGGAUACUGCUUGGCUAGGGGACGAGAGAGGCAGACGGUAUUUUCGGGGUAGGGGUGAAAUCCUAUAAUCCCGGGAAGACCACCAGUGGCGAAGGCUGUCUGCUAGAACGCGCCCGACGGUGAGGGAUGAAAGCUGGGGGAGCGAACCGGAUUAGAUACCCGGGUAGUCCCAGCUGUAAACGAUGCAGACUAAGUGUUUGGACGGCCACGUGCCGUUCUAGUGCCGCAGGGAAGCUGUUAAGUCUGCCGCCUGGGGAGUACGAUCGCAAGAUUGAAACUUAAAGGAAUUGGCGGGGGAGCAC